GUGGAGCCUGGCGACUGCUUUGGGAAGUCCUGCUGGCAGGCACUCUGCCCCUGGGGGUGUGCAAAGAGUUGUCCAGUUACCUUGAUCUUCUCACAGCCUCCUCCCCAGGGCACCAGGAGAGACCAGGAUUGGAGGACGGUAAAGAACACACUUCCCAGAGGAUUCUUGGAGGUGGCUUCCUCCAGGCAGUAAAUCUACAGCCCAGGCUCCCUGCAUCUUAUGGCUCCAAUCACUUUGGAUCUCAUCGUCGCCUGCACAUUGCCAUACACAGGGAAGGAGAAGAGAUGGAGAAGGCAAAGACUUUCUGAAAGCCGUGGCUAAAAGCUGGCAUGUGUCACAUCAGCUCACAUUCCAUUGAUACAUCAUAUAGUAUUAACUAAUGAAAUGCUUUGAUAUCUGGAACGUUUAAAAAAUAUUCCCGAUGGAGUAAGUGCAAAGAAACAGAUGGAGUUCCCCUCUGCCACCCAGACUGGAGUACAGUGGCGCGAUCCUGGCCAUCGCAACCUCCGCCUCCCAGGUUCAAGCGAUUCUCCUGCCUCAGUCUCUCAAGUAGCUGGGAUAUGGGCACCUGUCACCAUGCCCAGCUAAUUUUUUUAAAAUUUAUUUUUAGUAGAGAUGGGGUUUCACCAUGUUGGCCAGGCUGGUCUCGAACUCCUGACCUCAGGUGAUCCACCCACACUUUUUAUUGUUUGCCUACACUUUCUAGACUUGCUUCAUCAGCCUACUCCGUUUCUGGUUGAUAUGGUUUGGUUGUGUCCCCACUCAAAUCUUAUCUAGAAGUGUAAUCCCCAAGUCUCAAGGGAGGGACCUGGUGUGAGGUGAUUGGAUUGGGGGGUGGUUCCCGCCAUGCUGUUCUCAUGAUAGUGAGUGAGUUCUCAUGAGAUCUGAUGGUUUUAUAAGGCAGUUUUCCCUAUUCUUGCUCACUCUUCUCUCUCUUUCUGCCAUGUGAAGAAGGUCCUUGCUUCCCCUUCACCUUCUACCAUGAUUGUAAGUUUCCUGAGGCCUCCCCUCAGCCAUGCACAACUGUGAGUCAAUUAAACCUCUUUCCUUUAUAAAUUACUCAGUCUCAGGUCGUAUCUUUAUAGCAGUAUGAGAAUGGACUAAUACACUGGUCUAUCCUUCAUCCAAAUUAACUACCUGCACUGCAGUCCUUGUCUCAGGCUCUGCUUUGAGGGACCCCAACUGUGACAGCCGCAUUAGAAUGCAUCACAUACUGCAGUGAAAUUCUAGAGUGGGUGUUGUCAGGUGGUGAUGAUUGUUAGAUAUGUCAGUCUGUUUUCAGGCUGCUGAUAAAGACAUACCUGAGACUGGGUAAUUUAUAAAGGAAAAGGAGGUUUAAUGGACUCACAGUUCCACAUGGCUAGGGAGGCCUCACAAUCAUGGCAGAAGGUGAAAGGCACGGCUUACAGGGUGGCAGCAAGAGAGGAAAUGAGAACCAAGUGAAAAGGUUUCUGCUUAUAAAACCAUCAGCUCUUGUGAGACUUAUUCAUUACAAUGAGAACAAUAUGGGGGAAACUGCCCCCAUGAUUCAAUUAUCUCCCACCAGAUCCCUCCUACAACACAUGAGAAUUGUGGGUGCUACAAUUCAAGAUGAGAUUUGAGUGGGGACAAAGUCAAACCAUAUCAUUAGAUAGGACACUGGAGAAAGGCAAGAAAGAAAAGACAUCUGAAGAAUGAAGGGAGCCAAAGAAAUGCCAACAUUUUGCUUUUUGAAGAAAAGCUAAAUUAAAGUCAAAAUGGAUUUAUCAAUUUCCUUGGGUUCGUGAAUGUACAGAACUUUAUUAAGGUAAGUCAAAACUUCUCUUUUUAUACUUAACCCAACUCAAAUUGGCUUAUGUAGGGGAAACAAGAAAUCAAAACCCAAAGGAACAUGCCAGUUCAGGAAUAUACAGUUAGCUAAGCUUCUUACUGAACAAAUAAAAUCACAAAGCAUGUAUGCAGAUAGACCACAAGUGACUAUAGUGAGGUAGUUUAUUUCAGCUCUAUUUAUCUGGAAUUAAUGCUACACCAUCUGACAUAUUAAGCAGUUAUGCAUCAGGUAUCAGUAGUUACAUCUUCCAGUGCCUCUUACAGUUGCCCCUGAUGGUAUAUCUACUCGAAAGUAUGUAAGUGCACUCACAUUCUUCAACAUUUCCUCAUUAAAGCCAGAUGGAAUUGGGCUUCUUAUACUUGCUAUUCAUUCAUUUAAUAUUAUUAGAGUGUCUACCAUGUAGUAGGCAUUUUCUGUAAAUGCUGGGGAUAUCUUGAUAACAAAGACAAAACCUUUCCCCACAUAGAUCUUAAAUUUUAGUGCGAAGAGAAAGACAAUGACUAUUUUGAAGUUACGAAGGGGAUUUGCUGAUUUGAAUGCCUACUUAGGAGAUUCAGAAGUGGUUGGAUUUAGGUGCUUAGAUUAAGUCAUCAGGAAUUUCCACCUUCUACCCAUAACAGUGAGCAUCUGAAACUUACAAAACAAUAUUUCCUAUUUUACUUCAUUUUAUUUUAGAGACAGGGUCUUGCCUGUUGCUCAGUCUGGAAUGCAGUGGCACAAUCAUAGCUCACUGCAGCCUCAAUUUCCUGGGCUCAAGGGAUCCUCCCAAAGUGCUGGGAUUACAGGUAUAAGCCACCAUGCCCGGCCAAGAUACUCUAUUUUUAAUUUACAGUUUAUAUCAAGACACUGAGCCAGGGGAAUUUGAAGUCACCCAUCCAGUGGUCUUAGCAUCUUUGCUCACACACUGAAUGACUUGAUGUAAAUGACUGAAUCAGACUUGUUUGCUUAUAGCUGACACCACCGAGCAAACAUAUUCUCUCUUUCUCUGGGACAACACCUGAUAUGGUCUGGCUCUGUGUCCCCACCCACAUCUCAUCUUAAAUUGUAAUCCAAAUUGUAAUCCCCACAUGUUGGGGGAGGGACCUCAUGGGAAGUGAUUGGAUCAUGGUGGUGGUUCCCCCUGUGCUAUUCUCGUGAAAGUGAGUGAGUUCUCAUGAGAUCUGAUGGUUUUAUAAGGGGCUCUUCCCCCUUCAUUUUGCACUUCUGUCUCCUGCUGCCUUGUGAAGAAGGACAUGUUUGCUUCCCCUUCCACCAUGAUUGUAAGUUUCCUGAGGCCUCCCCAGCCAUGCCAAACUGUGAGUUAAUUAAA
rnacentral:lncRNA from 10 species